AGCUUUGCGCAGUGGCAGUAUCAUAGCCAAUGAGGUCAAACGAGGCGUGAUUAUUGCUAAUUGAAAAUUUUCCCAAUACCCGCCCGUGAUGACUUGAAAUAUAGUCAGCACUGGCAAUUUUUGAGUCUCUCAGGAGA
rnacentral:snRNA from 1 species